AACGGCGCCGGCGGCGGCGCCAUGGAGUUGGGGUGGUUAGCGUUGGUGGGGGGAGGUCCUCUCAUUUCACCGGUCGUGGGGACCGAAGAGCUCGCGAGGGGUCUUUUGAUAGCGCGUUCCAGCAGGCGGCGCUAGUCGUCAAUGGGCGCGCCGACUUUUGCGGUUGAGCUGAAAGGCGCAAGACCGACGCGCUUCCCUGAGCGUCUCCCCCACAAACACGUAACUCGGCGUUUUUUGUUUUUUUUCUCGCUCUCUCCUUCCUCUCUUCCUGACGUCGGCGUGCACGCGGGCCGGCUGAACCUGACUUGAGCCGGCGGAGUGUGCGGGCUUUGAUUCUGCCGUCUGCAGGGGCGUGCCGAGACACUGUUGUGACGCGAAGGAACCGACGAGAGCGCCUGGCUACAUCCGCUUGAGCGUGCAGGCGGCUGCUGCGACGACGACGGAACAGAAGCUACUGGGUCGUGUGCGAGUGGCGGCCUGGGUGAAGAACGCCGAGAUGCUCACGAGGAUACCGCGAUGCAGCCAGCUGGCAGACGGCUCUAGAGUGGGACACUGCUGACGAAACGUUCGAGCCGGAGUGCCGGCUUCACCAAGCCACCCUGGGGAAAGCAGCCAUUGACGUCUGGAGCGGUGAGCCGAUACACUGAGAUCACGGAUGCAGCCGUAGAGUCGCCCACCACCUGGGCGGAUUGCGAUGUCCCUUCUGCUUCUACACGGGCGACUGGGGAAAUUUAUGAAGAUCGCCCGGCUAAUCCUUGGAUUGACGACGACGGCUUCACACGGGUGCAGCAGAAACGGCGAACUCCAGCGUCAAGUGGGACGGCGAAAUCCGACAAGGUACUUGCAGC
rnacentral:lncRNA from 1 species